rnacentral:rRNA from 1 species
UACCGCGAAGUGAUUGAUACCAUGCUUCCAAGAACAGCCUCUAAGCUUCAGUUACAAGGAGACCGUACCGCAAACCGACACAGGUGGGCAGGAUGAAAAUUCUAAGGCGCUUGAGAGAACUCAGGAGAAGGAACUCGGCAAAUUUGCACCGUAACUUCGGGAAAAGGUGCGCCCUGAUAGGUUGUAGCCCCUCGCGGGUGAAGGCUGAAAGGGUUGCAGUGAAAUGGUGGCUGCGACUGUUUAAUAAAAACACAGCACUCUGCAAACACGAAAGUGGACGUAUAGGGUGUGACGCCUGCCCGGUGCCGGAAGGUUAAGUGAUGGGGUGCAAGCUCUUGAUCGAAGCCCCGGUAAACGGCGGCCGUAACAAUAACGGUCCUAAGGUAGCGAAAUUCCUUGUCGGGUAAGUUCCGACCUGCACGAAUGGCGUAACGAUGGCCACACUGUCUCCUCCUGAGACUCAGCGAAGUUGAAGUGGUUGUGAAGAUGCAAUCUCCCCGCGGUUAGACGGAAAGACCCCAUGAACCUUUACUGUAGCUUUGCAUUGGACUUUGAACCGACUUGUGUAGGAUAGGUGGGAGGCUGCGAAGCCGGGACGCUAGUUCUGGUGGAGCCAACCUUGAAAUACCACCCUGGUUUGUUUGAGGUUCUAACCACGGCCCGUGAAUCCGGGUCUGGGACCGUGCAUGGUAGGCAGUUUGACUGGGGCGGUCUCCUCCUAAAGUGUAACGGAGGAGUACGAAGGUACGCUAGGUACGGUCGGACAUCGUGCUAAUAGUGCAAUGGCAAAAGCGUGCUUGACUGCGAGACCCACACGUCGAGCAGGUACGAAAGUAGGUCAUAGUGAUCCGGUGGUUCUGUAUGGAAGGGCCAUCGCUCAACGGAUAAAAGGUACUCUGGGGAUAACAGGCUAAUACCGCCCAAGAGUUCAUAUCGACGGCGGUGUUUGGCACCUCGAUGUCGGCUCAUCACAUCCUGGGGCUGUAGUCGGUCCCAAGGGUAUGGCUGUUCGCCAUUUAAAGUGGUACGUGAGCUGGGUUUAAAACGUCGUGAGACAGUUUGGUCCCUAUCUGCCGUGGGCGCUGGAAAUUUGAAGGGGGCUGCUCCUAGUACGAGAGGACCGGAGUGGACGAACCUCUGGUGUACCGGUUAUGACGCCAGUCGUAUUGCCGGGUAGUUAAGUUCGGAAGAGAUAAACGCUGAAAGCAUCUAAGCGUGAAACUCGCCUUAAGAUGAGAUUUCCCUGGGGACUUGAUCCCCCUGAAGGGUCGUGGUAGACCACCACGUUGAUAGGCUGGGUGUGGAAGCGCAGCAAUGCGUUAAGCUAACCAGUACUAAUUGCCCGUGAGGCUUGAUCC